CGCAGCCGCGGUAAUUCCAGCUCCAAUAGCGUAUAUUAAAGUUGUUGCAGUUAAAAGCUCGUAGUUGAAUUUCGGGGUUAGUAGGUUGGUCAUGCCUCUGGUAUGUACUGGUCUCACUGAUUCCUCCUUCCUGAUGAGCCGUAAUGCCAUUAAUUUGGUGUUGCGGGGAAUUUGGACUGUUACUUUGAAAAAUUAGAGUGUUUAAAGCAAGCUAACGCUUGAAUACAUUAGCAUGGAAUAAUGAAAUAGGACGUUCGAUCCUAUUUUGUUGGUUUCUAGGAUUGACGUAAUGAUUAAUAGGGAUAGUUGGGGGCAUUAGUAUUCAAUUGUCAGAGGUGAAAUUCUUGGAUUUAUUGAAGACUAACUACUGCGAAAGCAUUUGCCAAGGAUGUUUUCAUUAAUCAAGAACGAAAGUUAGGGAUCGAAGACGAUCAGAUACCGUCGUAGUCUUAACCAUAAACUAUGCCGACUAGGGAUCGGAUGAUGUUAAUUUUUUAAUGUACUCAUUCGGCGCCUUAAC
rnacentral:misc_RNA from 1 species